CACUCUCUCUUUGUUCUUAGAACCCCCGUCACCAACAUAACCCUUUGUCCCCUGCAGAAUUCCAGCUUCCCGUGACUGAACCUGACAUCAACAACAGGCUGGAGUCCUUGUGCCUCAGUAUGACCGAGCACGCCCUGGGAGACGGGGUGGACCGGACCUCCACAAUCUAAAGCUGAAGAUGGGGGAGACCGCGCUGGCCGUGAAAUCGACUGCUGCGGGUCCAGUAUCAGCCAUCGUUGGGCUGCACGGAAUCCUCCGGGAUCCUGCGCAGCCCUCCCCUGGUCCCUCUCCCACUUUGAUUUUGUGAGAGCGUAGGUCAUCCUUGUAAACAUAUCAGUAGACCUGGGA